UAUAUAUGUAUUUCUAUAAAAUUUAACUUUUACAUGUUAUUUCUGUAAAAGUUCUGAUAUUUUCAAAUAUAUCCCUGUCGUUAAGAUCCGCUAGAAAAACUUAGUUAAUCAUAGGUAAAAUACUUAACCCUAAUUAGUUAAUAAGGUAAAUUAUAUUGACUUUUUCUUUCUUUUUAAUUAACAGUUGUGACUUUUCGAGUGACAUAUUUAUGAUGGUAAAGAGAUUAUUUUAUUUAUAAAAUAAAUAAUAGUUUAGCGGUAACAAAUCAGAGGGACAUAUUUAAAAAUAUUAGAACUUUUGUAAAAAUAAUACAUAAAAAUUAAAUUUUAUGGAAAUAUAUUUGUAAUUUUUUAUGUUUAUAUAACGAACUGUAAAAAAUUAACCCUAAAAUAUAUUAUGAAUAAUUUUACA
rnacentral:lncRNA from 1 species